AGAGUUCGAUUAUGGCUCAGGAUGAACGCUGGCGGCGUGCUUAACACAUGCAAGUCGAGCGAAGCGCUUACGACAGAACCUUCGGGGGAAGAUGUAAGGGACUGAGCGGCGGACGGGUGAGUAACGCGUGGGUAACCUGCCUCAUACAGGGGGAUAACAGUUGGAAACGGCUGCUAAUACCGCAUAAGCGCACGGUAUCGCAUGAUACAGUGUGAAAAACUCCGGUGGUAUGAGAUGGACCCGCGUCUGAUUAGCUAGUUGGAGGGGUAACGGCCCACCAAGGCGACGAUCAGUAGCCGGCCUGAGAGGGUGAACGGCCACAUUGGGACUGAGACACGGCCCAG
rnacentral:rRNA from 1 species